rnacentral:rRNA from 1 species
CUCUGUGACUCCUACGGGAGGCAGCAGUGGGGAAUAUUGCACAAUGGGGGAAACCCUGAUGCAGCCAUGCCGCGUGUGUGAAGAAGGCCUUCGGGUUGUAAAGCACUUUCAGUAGGGAGGAAGGUAGUGUAGUUAACACCUGCACUAUUUGACGUUACCUACAGAAGAAGCACCGGCUAACUCCGUGCCAGCAGCCGCGGUAAUACGGAGGGUGCGAGCGUUAAUCGGAAUUACUGGGCGUAAAGCGCAUGCAGGCGGCCUGUUAAGUCAGAUGUGAAAGCCCGGGGCUUAACCUCGGAAUUGCAUUUGAAACUGGCAGGCUAGAGUCUUGUAGAGGGGGUAGAAUUUCAGGUGUAGCGGUGAAAUGCGUAGAGAUCUGAAGGAAUACCAGUGGCGAAGGCGGCCCCCUGGACAAAGACUGACGCUCAGAUGCGAAAGCGUGGGGAGCAAACAGGAUUAGAUACCCUGUAA